GGAAAAAACCUCUUACUUCCACCUCAAGAAUCUCUCCAGGGCAUGGAUGGCCAUGAACCGCUGAGCGAUUCUGAGAAUGGCAAACCUUUAGAAAUCUUAGCAGUUCUACCUGAUCCGACUCAGGUUAUCAGGAGACCAGCCGAGGAGACAGAAGGGCUUUGAUUUUCCUCCUCUCUGUUUCCAGUGGGGAAGAAGGUGGUGAAAGCAAAAGCUCCUGUCACGAGUCUUGGGUUCUCUCCAUUGCGCUUGGAAUCCUGAGAGAAAAUCAUGAAGGAAGAAAAUUCUUCCUUGGUCGGAAACCAUGCUAGAAGAGUUGAACCUGAAUACAUGACAGAGGUACCAGCAUGGGUGCCCUUGUCUGGCGAUAAAGGGGGAGAAAGCAAAGGGCACAAGACUUUUGGGAUACCGAGUGGCAGCGGUUCCUGAAGACCUUUCAGACCUUUCAGAACCCACUGGGGCCAAAGAUGGCCCCAUGGGAUGAUACCAAGGCUUUCCUGGCCUCCUUUGAGCAAGUGGCCAGGGCUUGUCGGUGGCCUCCAGGAGAGUGGGUGGCCCGGCUCUUGCCAGCACUGAAUGGAGAAGCCGAAGAGGCCUUUUAGAGCCUGGAAGCCAUAGACAGGGAGGAUUAUGGGAAAGUGAAGGCUGCCAUCUUGCGAGGGGAUGCCCUGAGGAUGGAGGUGAGAUGCCAGCACUUCAGGGACUUCUCCUGCCAGGAGGUGGAAGACCCCCGGAGGCUUCACAGCCAAGUCCAAGAGCUUGCCACCGGUGGCUGAGGCCAGAGAGACGCAGCAAGGAGCAGAUCCUGGAGCUGCUGAUCCUGGAGCAGUUCCUGGCCAGCCUUCCCCCGGACCUCCAGGGCUGGAUCCGGGCAGGAGGGCCCGACACGUGUUCCCAGGCCGUGGCCCUGAUGGAGGACUUCCUCGUGAGCCAGGAACAAGCUGAGAGGAGGAGGUGGCAGGGGCCGAUGAAGAAGGAGUGUGUGGGUUUCCUGGACACAGAGGAGUCGUCGUCAGAUACUGCAGAAGGGCCCAUCUAUAAAGAGGCCAGGCAGAAUGGUGGUGGGGACGUCAGCGCUCCGAGACCAAAAACGCUUGAAGGAGACAAGCCUGUCGUUGCAGGUUGUCAAGCGGAGUCUCUCUCAAGCGGGCCAGGAGACCAUGGUCUGGCAUGUUUUUCGGGAGGAUGGUUCCGGGAACAUGGAUUCUUUGGGUAAGGAGCCGUUUCCUCAAGUCUCAUGAGCCUCUACCCAGAUUGUUGGGGUAAGGAGCCGUUUCCUCAAGUCUCAUGAGUCUCCACCCACCCAAUGUGUCAUUUGCAGGGCUGGAGAAGAGCCAACCAGCAGAAAGAGGAGGGAUGUUUUCAUGUACAGUGGUUCCUUGCUUUACGAUUGCCCUGCAUUACGAUGAAACUGCAUUACGACGGUGUUUUGCGAUUGCAUUUAUGAUCGGAAAACCGUGGUCUGAAUGGGGUUUUUCGCUUUGCGUUCAUCGGGUCC
rnacentral:lncRNA from 1 species